rfam:Picea glauca, whole genome shotgun sequence.
GGGUGCGAUCAUACUAGCGUUAAUGCACCAGAUCCCAUCAGAACUCUUCAGUUAAGUGCGCUUGGGCUAGAGUAGUACAGCGAUGGGUGACCUCCCAGGAAGUCCUAGUGUUGCACCCU